AUUUAACGGUUUUGGCAUAGCAAAUGUAUCUAGAUCCUAGAUGCUUAAUGGCAGAGCCACCGGGUCCAACCAGACCAAACGUGGCUGCACGCAACGACGAGAACCGGUUGAAGUACGCCUGUGACGCCGGAAUCUUAACGGACGAUUUCAACGCCAAUGACCUCGACGGCGAAGAUUCUAAUAGCACACCAAGUUUUGACUCCGAGAGCUGCAAGUCGCCGCGUCUGGAGGAUCUGGCGGCCAGUUUACGUGUCUUCUCUGAGUCGCUAGCGAGAAUGGAUCUGGCUGAGACAGAGAUGACCAGGGCGAGGGAGACUUGGCGGUGCGAGGCAGAGAAGAGGCGGAUGGAGUUGGAGGCCGAAUUGACUCGCCUGAUGUUGGGGACUCAGUUGCAGAUCGCAUUGAUUGUCGCAGGGAAGGGGCCGAGUAAGAAAAGGAAGCGAGCUGAAGAAAUGGAAGAUGAAUCAGGCAUCUCUCCAAGGAAAGGAGCUUUAUUGCUAAGUUUGCUACAAUGCAACUUCAGCUUUUGAAGUAUACAAUGGCACAUCCUUUGUUUCUACUCGUCUUCUUUCUGGUCAAUCUGAAACAAUGUGAGCUUCAUAUUGAUACUUAAUUAUUUUAUGCCUCAAGUAUUUGGCAGUUGAAGUAUUUAUUAUCAUCCUAUCUUCACCUACUCUUAACUUAAAUCUAAUUGACCUCUAUUAAAACCUGGACUUCUUUGAUCUGCAUUGCUAGCUAUGUAGAGCCUUUCUUCCA
rnacentral:misc_RNA from 1 species